CAGAGCUCCAGAUAAGCUGCGUAUUUGCGUGAUCACGCAAUACAAAUGAUUAAAAACCCAAUGCAAUUGCCCAUUGCAGGGUUCAAUAACCCAAUUAAUUCAAAGGAAAACCCAAUUAUAUGCCAAAACCAUGAGUUCUUAACGCUUUUAUUCGCUAUCGUUUGCGUUAUUUACCCUUAUCUAAUUACAAUCGUCGCGUAAAUCUAUUUUUAUAAUAUUUACAAUUGGAAAUUUCCUUUCGUUCUAUAAAUAGAGCCCUGCAUCAAGUAGCUGAAAUGGGUCCCUGUUGGAAUUUUCCGUUGCUCAAAAGGUACACGUGUUUAUGAAAACAUUUCGAUCUUCUCGGCGUUUAUCCAAUUAGCCGUUUUUUUCGAAUUGCUCGGGACUUAUCGUAACAUACAAUGAAUUAAAACGAAAGUAAAUGUCCGGUAAAAAUAUUGAAUAGAAGCAUGUUUUCAGCUUCUUUUUGAUAGAUGAGGACAAGUUAUGGUGAUAACAAGACUCAGCUAGUGUUUUAUGAAGCGUCCGUCGAACGCACGGGCGUGUUGGCGUACCUUAACGAGAACAUUGCUAGAACGAUAAACACGGGGUUUCUUCAAGAACGAAAUGAGUUGGAAAAAGUGAAAGGCCAAAUUAAUUAUGACAUGUUAUAUAGUUGGAAAGCAUCGGAAACCAAAAGUUCUAAUAAGGGACAACUUAACCCAGAUUUAUGUUAAUUAAAUUAAACAAAAACAUUCAGGUAUAAUUUUAGUUUAUAUAUUAUUUUUUCAUUUUUAGAUGAUGAGUGAAUACACAUAUCCGUUUUUUUACGUCAAUGCAGCUUGACACUUUCUUUAUUUUGGUCUAAUUGUUCUGUAUGCUUAAGAUAGCUGUCUUAUUGGCAAGUGUUAUUUAUUUAUUUGAUGUUGCAGAAUUAUUUGUAAAUUGAAGUUGAAUGUGGUGUCCGUAAUUAAACCACCCUUUAAACCUGGUCAAGGUUUUGGGGUAUAUCUUGAA